AUCCAGCCGACAAGUCCCAAAUAGGACGGAACGCGCGUCCUGGAU
rnacentral:hammerhead_ribozyme from 1 species